rnacentral:sRNA from 2 species
GUAUUCUACACUACCCAUCCCCCAUCACCCCCCCAUGAACAUCGACGGCGAAGUGGAUAUCUCCAGAAGAAGAAGAAGAGAAGGAAGCUCUUUGGUGGACAUGCACGGUUGCUCCCCUAACCCUGAACUUCGAGCUAGCGAAAGGAACUAGCUUAUCUUGCUCGUGCAAGUACGACUGAUGAUGGGCCGAUGACACACUUGCUGGCUGGGCUUCCAUGAUGGGCUUCUUCAUCCCAUGGAUACCUCGUACCAUGUCGACUCACUAACAUCCUACAUCCUAGGAGUGGGUGGGGGAAACCUUGCACGACGGGCUUGGCCGGCGCACGGAGAAAUAAUCAAGAAAAAAAAAAAAACAGGGAAAAGAGCUUGAGCAAUUCGCCAGAUCCAGAGAGAUAGCUGCGUAGAUAAGAGAGAUAGAUAAGCGAGGAGCAAGCAAACAAGGAGGAGGAGGAAGAGAAAGAGAAAGGGAUGUAACACCACAACAAGCACAACCUGCAACCUGCCCCGUAUUUUGUCGUUUGAUUUGAUUUUUAUGUUUUACCUGUUUACUGGCCCGACAAUUCCAGGCUCUGUAUACAAAACUGCAGGACAUUAUCAUGCCCAUCCUCAUUCCGCCAAUUGGAUACUAGUAACAAGUAAACUAUUACAAGGGGGGGAAGAGAAAGAAAGGGGCGUCCUGAGCAGGAACUGAGGAAGCGCGCAUUUAUUUGGGAGC